UCUGCUCAAUGGAUUUUUAAAUUGCUGUGGUAUUUUGACUAUACAAAGGUAUUGAAAUAAGAUUUUAAUUGAAUGCUAAGAGAAUGGAAUUUCAGAAAAAAACUUUUUUCAAGUUAAAAAUUGAAAUUUUUUUAAUUUGUGCAGAAACAAUUAUUAAUAUUAAGGACAAGAAGACCCUAUGAAUUUAUAAAUUUUAUUUAAUAUGUAACUACUAUUAAAAAAAUUUUGGCUGGGGCGGCGGAAAAAUAUUUAAAACUUUUUUAAAAUAAAAUGACCCAUUAUUAAUGAUUAUAUGUUAAAUACUCUAGGGAUAACAGCGUAAA
rnacentral:rRNA from 1 species